rnacentral:rRNA from 1 species
CCUACGGGUGGCAGCAGUGAGGAAUAUUGGUCAAUGGACGGAAGUCUGAACCAGCCAUGCCGCGUGCAGGAAGACGGCUCUAUGAGUUGUAAACUGCUUUUGUACAAGGGUAAACCUGAAUACGUGUAUUCAGCUGAAAGUACUGUACGAAUAAGGAUCGGCUAACUCCGUGCCAGCAGCCGCGGUAAUACGGAGGAUCCAAGCGUUAUCUGGAUUUAUUGGGUUUAAAGGGUGCGUAGGCGGAUUGAUAAGUUAGAGGUGAAAUGUCCGAGCUUAACUCGGGAACUGCCUCUAAUACUGGUGGUCUAGAGGGUAGGUGCGGUAGGCGGAAUGUAUGGUGUAGCGGUGAAAUGCUUAGAGAUCAUACAGAACACCGAUUGCGAAGGCAGCUUACCAAUCUAUAUCUGACGUUGAGGCACGAAAGCGUGGGGAGCAAACAGGAUUAGAUACCCGUGUAGUC